rnacentral:lncRNA from 1 species
UGGUGUACAAAAAUUCCAUACACCAUUUCAGGAGUUUCACAGACACCUGGAGCUCCUCCAGGGUCUUCCUUCCCUUGGAUCCCCUGGAUUAUAGAAUUUUGAGAAGGAGACAUACAUGAAGGGCAUUAUCACUUCAUGUUGUUUUAGUUCAUUCUUCCAUAUGCACUCAGAAUGGAGAAUUACAUUAAUACAACUUAUGAACUAAAGUAGAUUUUCUUAAUGUGUGCUCUAUAUUAGAAUCACCUACAGGGUUUAUAAAACAUCCAUAUUCCUAAAUCCUAUCCAGGUAUACUCAGAAUUUAUAGCGGUGGGGCCAUAUGAGAUACGUUUUUAACCAGCACCUAGCUGGUGGUGUUGCAGUGAUGAAGAGGGUACAGUUAGUCCUCAGUAUCAGUGAUGGAAGGGAUUGGUUCCAGGACCCCCUGAACAUACCAAAAUAAUACAGAUGCUCAAGUCCCUUAUAUAAAAUGGCAUAGCAUAAUCAGCCCUCCUUAUCCACGGGUUCUGCAUCCUUAUGUGCCGAGGAGAGCCGGCUGUAUCAUAGUGGAUAUUCUUUGCUUUUGACAUUCCAACAAAACAUGAGACAGGAAGAACUCAAGGGAAAAAAAUAUAAAAGAUUUUUUUUUUCAACUCCACCAAUUCUCAAGACAUUCUCCGUAGUCAGCACCAAUUUAAUCUAAGCAUAGGAACAUCUUUAGCUACAACGUGUUAGACAGGACAGCAUUUACCCUGGAGAAAGCUGGCUCCUUUACAUUAGCCAGAGCAUUAUACAAAGAACAUUAAUAUCACAUAAUCAUAGCGUUGGAAGCUACUGAUGGGUCCCAGUGGAUGAAGAUAAACAGUCAUCAUCCUUAACCUUAAAACGAUCACCUGCUAUAGCAGCCAAAGUCAUUUCUGUUCUGUGUCUUGAUUUGAAGAGAUCCAAAAUUUCACUAUAUAUCAGUCAAUCCUUCCAGGAAGGAUUUUGCAAAAUGCAAUAAUUGGCAAGUUUCUGGAAUCAGUAGCAUCUGUUGCUUAUCAGAAUUGUAUGAUUUUUUGACAUCUAUUUCUUUUCUGUAAAACAGUCACCAUGGCUUUAUUAUAAAAAAUGUUACUGAUCCCAAAUUCAUCUUUUGAUUCAGACAUUUCACACAUUCACUCCUAGUUAGAUACACAAUAUUUUAUGACUUAAUAUUAAACUACCAAAUCAAUGUGUUAUGCUUACUGGUUAUUUUCUAAUAAAGGAACUAAAAGGAGAAUGAAUAGUAGGUUAAUUAAAGAGUUAGCUAUUAAAUGAAGUUAUUGUUUUCAUUUCCCUGGCAUUCCAAUCUUGUUUGUGUAAUAUUUACAUAGAAGGAACAUAUAUUAACUGUUCUCAAGUAUUCAAUUCGUCUAAGAAUAAAGACUCAGUUCUCGCACAGCCAUUUUAUCCUUCCUUAAGUAUGGUGGCUUGUAUUUACAGUCUUUGAGAUCCUAGUACCUUAUUUCUUCUUCUUCUGGUUACAGCAAACCCUCUUCUUUCAAACAGUUCUUCCUUCCCUACUCUAGUCAUAAGCUCUUAUUGGAAGCUAUUGAUCACAGAACUCCACCCCUACCCCAAGCUGGACCAAUCAUAUCAUCUCACUUCAUCCAGGGACUCCUGGAUUGUCCUGGAUAUGGGCACAGAGUUUUUCCCCAAGAUUUUUUAAACUAGAGGUGAGGUAGUUAGGAAAAUGGCAAUAGGGAGAUGAAAAGUUUUCUUCUUUCUGAUGAUGAAGCUGUGAGUGCAUGAAAUCAGAGAGACUGAUAGCCAUGUACCCAGACACAUUGAGAAAGCAGAUCAGAAGCAAAAACAAUGAAGCCAUCAUAUCAAAGUGGAGGUGGUUUUAAGCAAUUACUUUAACUCUAAGUGCCUUAUGUGCUUCAGUGCUAUCUAAUGUUGAUGGCGACUGGGCACAUGUGGCUACUGAGCACUGGAAAUGUGGUUAGUGCAAACUGACUUGUUUUGUAUGUCUAAAUUAACAUUAGAUUUUGAAGACUUGGCAUGGGGGAAAAAGAAUGUCAAAUAUCUCAAUGAUUUUUUUGUAAUGAAUACAAGGAAGUUCUAAUAUAUUGCAUCUAUGUUUAAAUUAGAUCUUUACAUUUAAUUUAUCCUUAGUUUGUAAUAUGGCUUUUAGAAAUGUUUAUAUUGUAUGUGAGUCUCAAAUUAUGUUUCUAUUGAAACAGCUCUGCUCUCUAGUGAAUGUGUUUUUGAUUUGUUUAGCUACUUUGGGUGGGGUUUGUGCCAUUGGCAACCAACAGUGCCCUAAUUGAUGCUGAAAUCAGUAAUUGGAACAGAGGCAUUGAGAGGGAUAGAUUUAAAAUGUGGAAGUGGCUAUAUUAAGGUGUGAGGGGGGAGGGGGCAGGGAGAGUUUUUUCCACUUCUAAGUUAGGAAACGCAGUAGCCAAGCAGUUAGUUAAUUGUAACAAGUUAUUCAGAUCAUAUGCCUAUCCUCACUGAGCUAGAACUGUACAGGAAAAAAAAAA